AAAAAACGCCAUAGGAGGUCUGAAACAAGCUGGUUUUUCAUAUAUUUGAAUCCUAUCGAGAACCCGAAGCAAGCCGAGGAAAAGAAAAAGUAGUUGAUUAGUCCCUGAACUUUUACAAAUUCUGUAAAUCGGCCCAGAUUGACGUGUAUAUAUAUUUCGGAGGAUCGGAUCUACAACAACGAUCACACUAUCCAGAUUUACUCCGCAAUUUAGUUUUAGCAAUCUAGUCUACAAAUUUGGUACCUCUCACUGGUUUGAAGCAAUACAUAGAAAGGCUAGAUAACCAAAAGGUUAGAUUAUCCUUUACUCUUUUUUUUUGUUUUAUAAAUUUGCAUUUGAUUUUGGACUGUUUUUAAAUUUGGUAUAUUUGUAGUUGGGACUGUUUUAAUUUGGUUUUUGCUUAAUGCUGCUGCAAGUUAUUUUUUGCUGGAAGUUCUGCUUAAUGUUGCUGGUUAAUGUUAGGGGUUAAUGUUGCUGCAAGUUCUUUUUUGCUGCACAUUGUGGUUAAUGUUGCUGCUUAGUGUAUUUAUUCCUGGUUAUUGUUCUGGUCUUCAAGUUGUUUUUUGCUCCAUCUUUCUACUAAUUAGUGUUUGAAUUAA